rnacentral:rRNA from 1 species
UACCUGCAGCUCGAGUGGUAACCGCUAUUAUUGGGCCUAAAGCGUCCGUAGCCGGUUUGGUAAAUAUCUGGGUAAAUCGUGAGGCUUAACUUCACGAAUUUCGGAUAGACUGCCAGACUUGGGAUCGGGGGAGGUCAGAGGUACUCCAGGGGUAGCGGUGAAAUGUUGUAAUCCUUGGAGGACCACCGGUAGCGAAGGCGUCUGACUAGAACGAGUCCGACGGUGAGGGACGAAGCCCUGGGGCGCAAACCGGAUUAGAUACCCGGGUAGUCCAGGGUGUAAACGAUGUGGGCUUUGUAUUGGAGGUCCCACGUGGGCGUCCAGUGCAGAAGAGAAGUUGUUAAGCCCACCGCCUGGGAAGUAUGGUCGCAAGGCUGAAACUUAAAGGAAUUGGCGGGGAGCACAGCAACGGGAGGAGCGUGCGGUUU